rnacentral:rRNA from 1 species
AGUCAAGUAAUUAAGUGCAUGUGGUGGAUGCCUUGGCAGUCAGAGGCGAUGAAAGACGUGAUAGCCUGCGAAAAGCUCCGGGGAGGCGGCAAAUAUCCUUUGAUCCGGAGAUGUCUGAAUGGGGGAACCCACCUACUUUAAGGUAGGUAUUGCAACAUGAAUACAUAGUGUUGCAAGGCGAACGAGGGGAAGUGAAACAUCUCAGUACCCUUAGGAAAAGAAAUCAAUUGAGAUUCCCUCAGUAGCGGCGAGCGAACGGGGAUCAGCCCAUUAAGUUAUGUGUGUUUUAGUGGAACGCUCUGGGAAGUGCGAACGUAGAGGGUGAUAUUCCCGUACACGAAAGGGCACACAUAAUGAUGACGAGUAGGGCGAGGCACGUGAAACCUUGUCUGAAUAUGGGGGGACCAUCCUCCAAGGCUAAAUACUCCUGACUGACCGAUAGUGAACCAGUACCGUGAGGGAAAGGCGAAAAGAACCCCUGUGAGGGGAGUGAAAUAGAUCCUGAAACCGCAUGCAUACAAGCAGUGGGAGCACCUUCGUGGUGUGACUGCGUACCUUUUGUAUAAUGGGUCAGCGACUUAUAUUCAGUAGCGAGGUUAACCGUAUAGGGGAGCCGUAGAGAAAUCGAGUCUUAAUAGGGCGUUUAGUUGCUGGGUAUAGACCCGAAACC